rnacentral:rRNA from 1 species
AGAGUUUGAUCCUGGCUCAGAACGAACGCUGGCGGCGUGGAUAAGACAUGCAAGUCGAACGGUGACUAGUUGGCAGCAAUGUUGGCUAGUUGUAGUGGCGAAAGGGUGAGUAACACGUGGGUAAUCUGCCGUGAAGUUCGGAAUAACCUCGAGAAAUCGUGGCUAAUACCGGAUGUGAUAUCUUGGAGGCAUCUCUGAGACCUUAAAGCUGGGGACCGAAAGGCCUGGCGCUUCACGAUGAGCCCGCGACCUAUCAGCUUGUUGGUGAGGUAAAAGCUUACCAAGGCAAUGACGGGUAGCCGGUCUGAGAGGACGAUCGGCCACACUGGAACUGAGACACGGUCCAGACACCUACGGGUGGCAGCAGUCGAGAAUCUUUCACAAUGGGGGAAACCCUGAUGGAGCGACGCCGCGUGGGGGAUGAAUGGCUUCGGUCCGUAAACCCCUGUCAUUUGUUAACAAACCUGUCGGAAUUAAUAGCUUAAGAGCUGAUAGUAGCAGAAGAGGAAGGGACGGCUAACUCCGUGCCAGCAGCCGCGGUAAUACGGAGGUCCCAAGCGUUGUUCGGAUUCACUGGGCGUAAAGGGUGCGUAGGCGGUUAGGUAAGUUCGGUGUGAAAGCUCCGGGCUCAACCCGGAAAUGGCAUUGAAAACUACCUAACUAGAGGAUCGGAGGGGAGACUGGAAUUCUCGGUGUAGCAGUGAAAUGCGUAGAUAUCGAGAGGAACACCAGUGGCGAAGGCAAGUCUCUGGACGAUUCCUGACACUGAGGCACGAAAGCUAGGGGAGCAAACAGGAUUAGAUACCCUGGUAGUCCUAGCCGUAAACGGUGCACAUUUGCUAUGGGAGGAUUCGACCCCUUCCGUGGCGCAGCUAACGCGAUAAAUGUGCCGCCUGGGGAGUACGGCCGCAAGGUUAAAACUCAAAGAAAUUGACGGGGGCCCGCACAAGCGGUGGAGUAUGUGGCUUAAUUCGAUUCAACGCGAAGAACCUUACCUGGCCUUGACAUGCAAGUGGUAGAAACCUGAAAGGGCGACGACCUCGCAAGAGGAGCUUGCACAGGUGCUGCAUGGCUGUCGUCAGCUCGUGUCGUGAGAUGUUGGGUUAAGUCCCGCAACGAGCGCAACCCUUGUGUCCUGUUGCCACUUCCGCGAAAGCGGGAAGCACUCUGGACAGACUGCCUCAUUUAAAUGAGGAGGAAGGUGGGGAUGACGUCAAGUCAGUAUGGCCCUUACGGCCAGGGCUGCACACGUACUACAAUGGCGGUGACAGUGGGCAGCGAAGGGGCGACCCCGAGCUAAUCUCCAAAAGCCGUCUCAGUUCGGAUUGUUCUAUGCAACUCGAGAGCAUGAAGUUGGAAUCGCUAGUAAUCGUGGAUCAGCAUGCCACGGUGAAUACGUUCCCGGGCCUUGUACACACCGCCCGUCACACCAUGGGAGUUGGUUUUACCCGAAGGUGGUGCGCAAACUCAGCAAUGAGAUGCAGCCAACCACGGUAAGGUCAGCGACUGGGGUGAAGUCGUAACAAGGUAGCCGUAGGGGAACCUGCGGCUGGAUCACCUCCUU